rnacentral:rRNA from 1 species
AGAGUUUGAUCAUGGCUCAGAUUGAACGCUGGCGGCAUGCCUUACACAUGCAAGUCGAACGGCAGCAUGGGUGCUUGCACCUGAUGGCGAGUGGCGAACGGGUGAGUAAUGCAUCGGAACGUACCCGGAAGUGGGGGAUAACGUAGCGAAAGUUACGCUAAUACCGCAUAUUCUGUGAGCAGGAAAGCAGGGGAUCGCAAGACCUUGCGCUUUCGGAGCGGCCGAUGUCGGAUUAGCUAGUUGGUGAGGUAAUGGCUCACCAAGGCGACGAUCCCUAGCUGGUUUGAGAGGAUGAUCAGCCACACUGGAACUGAGACACGGUCCAGACUCCUACGGGAGGCAGCAGUGGGGAAUUUUGGACAAUGGGGGCAACCCUGAUCCAGCCAUGCCGCGUGAGUGAAGAAGGCCUUCGGGUUGUAAAGCUCUUUCGGCCGGGAAGAAAUCGCAUAGGCUAAUACCCUGUCUGGAUGACGGUACCGGAAUAAGAAGCACCGGCUAACUACGUGCCAGCAGCCGCGGUAAU